CCUACGGGGGGCUGCAGUGGGGAAUAUUGCACAAUGGGCGCAAGCCUGAUGCAGCCAUGCCGCGUGCGUGAAGAAGGCCUUCGGGUUGUAAAGCACUUUCAGCGGGGAGGAAGGCGGUGAGGUUAAUAACCUCAUCGAUUGACGUUACCCGCAGAAGAAGCACCGGCUAACUCCGUGCCAGCAGCCGCGGUAAUACGGAGGGUGCAAGCGUUAAUCGGAAUUACUGGGCGUAAAGCGCACGCAGGCGGUCUGUCAAGUCGGAUGUGAAAUCCCCGGGCUCAACCUGGGAACUGCAUUCGAAACUGGCAGGCUAGAGUCUUGUAGAGGGGGGUAGAAUUCCAGGUGUAGCGGUGAAAUGCGUAGAGAUCUGGAGGAAUACCGGUGGCGAAGGCGGCCCCCUGGACAAAGACUGACGCUCAGGUGCGAAAGCGUGGGGAGCAAACAGGAUUAGAUACCCGGGUAGUC
rnacentral:rRNA from 1 species